rnacentral:rRNA from 2 species
AAAAGUCGUAACAAGGUUUCCGUAGGUGAACCUGCGGAAGGAUCAUUAUCGUACAACGGAGGCGCGAGGGCUGUCGCUGACUUUUCAAAGGUCGUGCACGCCCAAGUGUUCUCAAUCCAUCUCACCCCUUGUGCAUCACCGCGGGGGCCCCUUUGGGCUUGUUCCAAAGGGUGCUCACGUUUUAACACAGACACCCAUUUGAAUGCAGUGUAGAAUGUUCUUCAUGUAAUGAAUCAAUAAUACAACUUUCAACAACGGAUCUCUUGGCUCUCGCAUCGAUGAAGAACGCAGCGAAAUGCGAUACGUAAUGUGAAUUGCAGAAUUCAGUGAAUCAUCGAAUCUUUGAACGCACCUUGCGCCCCUUGGCAUUCCGAGGGGUACACCCGUUUGAGUGUCGUGACAUCUUCAACCCUUCUUGGUUUCUUGAUCAAGAAGGCUUGGAAUCUGGAGGCUUUUGCUGGCCUUCCUUGAAGCCAGCUCCUCUUAAAUGAAUUAGUGGGGUUCACAUCGGUUCGAUCCUGGACGUGAUAAGAUGCUUCUACGUCUUGGGUUUUGAUCUGUCCCCUCGCUUCUAACCGUCUCGUAGGAGACUCUGUUCGGGCCCCACCACCACCCUUCGUUGGGUGGGAAGCCUGACCCACGAAACCUUGACCUCAAAUCGGGUGAGACUACCCGCUGAACUUAAGCAUAUCAAUAAGCGGAGGA